rnacentral:lncRNA from 1 species
GUGCACCACUCUUUCUGAAAAGAGGGUGGAAGACCACACACCUCUCUGGCAAAGAAUCUCAACACUGCCUGAAGGUUUAAGCCAAGUGGAUUUGUUCCACCAUAGACCUGACCCCUUCAAUGUUUACAGGACUGCAAAGCAUCGUCCUAAAAAAACAAAAACAAAAAGAACCAUGGUUCUCAAUAACAUAAUUAAGUACCAUUUUCUGAAGCUUUCUUUUCUUUUCUUUUCUUUUCUUUUGUCUUCCUAUGAAAAUAGAAUCCAUCCCAGGGCUUGCAUAACUUUUGUUCAAGUACAUUGCAUGAUCUGAUAUCACAGCAAAUGCUGGUACCUGCUAUUAAUUUAAACUAAUAGGAAGCAAUCCACAUCAUUCUGAUCUGAUUUGGCAGUCCCACCAGAAAAGCAAUGCUAGGCAAUUUCCAUUUCAAGUAGGUUUUUCCACUCAAACCUCAGUAGUCAGAGUUCAGCAGACAGCAGGCAAAAGUUAAAAUGAAAGAUGACGGAGAAAGGAUUUCUUGGGACUAUCUGAAAAUUGAGAGGUUACUAAUGUUCAGCAAGCAUGCUCCGGGCAGCACCCAGCUUUCUGACCUGGUGACCUGAACUAUGUUUGUGCUUAUAGUAAAAGCAUUCAAGCAGAGAGUUCGGGAAUGAAAGUCUCUAUGUAGGAGAGCUUCCCACAUGCUAUUUCCACCUCCACCCCCACCCCGUUUUGCCUCAUUUAUUAGCGAGUAUUACAGAAACAAAGAAAGUUGAACUAAGAACUUUCAAGCUGUUGUUUCUCCUUGUAAGCUGAAUCCUUACAUCUACUAAAAAGUGUUACAGUGAUGGAGAUGGUUUGCCUUUCUGGACAAAAAAUACGUAUGCCAGAUCUCCUGUUCUUCCCUACUUUCCAUUCUAUGGCUUGAUCUUACCCACCAAUCUUGCCUGCAUGCCUCCAUCCCCAAUUUCAUUCCACAGUUUAGUAGAGAUUUACAGUGUAAAAAGAGUCUUGAGAGAGCAAAUUGAAAAUCCACCAUUCUUCUUCUUCCCACAGUGGCCAGCCAGCUACCCACCAGGGCAAGAAAACCUUUCCUCACUUGCUCCUCAGCAACUGGCAUGCAAAAGUACAGUACCUUGGAAAAUGGUAUACCAAAGUGUACUCCUUCCUGAGUCCUCUGGUGGAAGUAUGGGCCAGCUUCAGAACUCUACUUUUGCUUCCCCCAUGGUUCACUUGUGUGCUUUAAAUUUACAAAGCAGUUCAUUAUGA